UAUGGCCAUAGAGUAUUGAAACACCAGUUUCUAUAUGAUCACUGAAUUUAAGCAACAUCGAGCCUGGCAAGUAUCUAGGUAUGUGACCACUUGGGAACACCAGCUACUGUAAG